GCGGUGGUCGCAUAGCCUGGUAUUGCGCGUGACUGGAAAUCACGUGUCCCUUGGACUCGGGAGUUCAAAUCUCUCCCAUCGCGCCA
rnacentral:tRNA from 1 species